rnacentral:snRNA from 1 species
GUGCUCACUUCAGCAGCACAUACACUAAAAUUGGAAUGAUACAGAAGAUUAGCAUGGCCCCUGCGCAAGGAUGACACACAAAUUCGUGCAGCGUUCCAUACAAAU